UACGUAGGAUGCAAGCGUUGUCCGGAAUUAUUGGGCGUAAAGAGCGCGCAGGCGGUUUGAGAAGUCAGAUGUGAAAGAGGCCGGCUUAACCGGCAAGGGUCAUUUGAAACUGACAGACUAGAGUACAGCAGAGGAUAGCGGAAUUCCCGGUGUAGUGGUGAAAUGCGUAGAUAUCGGGAGGAACACCAGUGGCGAAGGCGGGGUCUCUGGACAGUUCCUGACACUGAGGCACGAAGGCCAGGGGAGCAAACGGG
rnacentral:rRNA from 1 species